rnacentral:rRNA from 1 species
UUAAAUUGAAGAGUUUGAUCAUGGCUCAGAUUGAACGCUGGCGGCAGGCCUAACACAUGCAAGUCGAACGGUAACAGGAAUCAGCUUGCUGAUUCGCUGACGAGUGGCGGACGGGUGAGUAAUGUCUGGGAAACUGCCUGAUGGAGGGGGAUAACUACUGGAAACGGUAGCUAAUACCGCAUAACGUCGCAAGACCAAAGAGGGGGACCUUCGGGCCUCUUGCCAUCGGAUGUGCCCAGAUGGGAUUAGCUAGUAGGUGGGGUAAAGGCUCACCUAGGCGACGAUCCCUAGCUGGUCUGAGAGGAUGACGAGCCACACUGGAACUGAGACACGGUCCAGACUCCUACGGGAGGCAGCAGUGGGGAAUAUUGCACAAUGGGCGCAAGCCUGAUGCAGCCAUGCCGCGUGUAUGAAGAAGGCCUUCGGGUUGUAAAGUACUUUCAGCGGGGAGGAAGGGAGUAAAGUUAAUACCUUUGCUCAUUGACGUUACCCGCAGAAGAAGCACCGGCUAACUCCGUGCCAGCAGCCGCGGUAAUACGGAGGGUGCAAGCGUUAAUCGGAAUUACUGGGCGUAAAGCGCACGCAGGCGGUUUGUUAAGUCAGAUGUGAAAUCCCCGGGCUCAACCUGGGAACUGCAUCUGAUACUGGCAAGCUUGAGUCUCGUAGAGGGGGGUAGAAUUCCAGGUGUAGCGGUGAAAUGCGUAGAGAUCUGGAGGAAUACCGGUGGCGAAGGCGGCCCCCUGGACGAAGACUGACGCUCAGGUGCGAAAGCGUGGGGAGCAAACAGGAUUAGAUACCCUGGUAGUCCACGCCGUAAACGAUGUCGACUUGGAGGUUGUGCCCUUGAGGCGUGGCUUCCGGAGCUAACGCGUUAAGUCGACCGCCUGGGGAGUACGGCCGCAAGGUUAAAACUCAAAUGAAUUGACGGGGGCCCGCACAAGCGGUGGAGCAUGUGGUUUAAUUCGAUGCAACGCGAAGAACCUUACCUGGUCUUGACAUCCACAGAACUUUCCAGAGAUGGAUUGGUGCCUUCGGGAACUGUGAGACAGGUGCUGCAUGGCUGUCGUCAGCUCGUGUUGUGAAAUGUUGGGUUAAGUCCCGCAACGAGCGCAACCCUUAUCCUUUGUUGCCAGCGGUCCGGCCGGGAACUCAAAGGAGACUGCCAGUGAUAAACUGGAGGAAGGUGGGGAUGACGUCAAGUCAUCAUGGCCCUUACGACCAGGGCUACACACGUGCUACAAUGGCGCAUACAAAGAGAAGCGACCUCGCGAGAGCAAGCGGACCUCAUAAAGUGCGUCGUAGUCCGGAUUGGAGUCUGCAACUCGACUCCAUGAAGUCGGAAUCGCUAGUAAUCGUGGAUCAGAAUGCCACGGUGAAUACGUUCCCGGGCCUUGUACACACCGCCCGUCACACCAUGGGAGUGGGUUGCAAAAGAAGUAGGUAGCUUAACCUUCGGGAGGGCGCUUACCACUUUGUGAUUCAUGACUGGGGUGAAGUCGUAACAAGGUAACCGUAGGGGAACCUGCGGUUGGAUCACCUCCUUACCUUAAAGAA